rnacentral:rRNA from 1 species
UACGAAGGGGGCGAGCGUUGUUCGGAAUUACUGGGCGUAAAGGGCGCGUAGGCGGCCCCUUUUGUCGCGUGUGAAAGCCCCCGGCUUAACCUGGGAACUGCGUCUGAUACUGGGAGGCUUGAGUAUGGGAGAGGGAUGUAGAAUUCCAGGUGUAGCGGUGAAAUGCGUAGAUAUCUGGAGGAAUACCGGUGGCGAAGGCGGCAUCCUGGACCAUAACUGACGCUGAGGCGCGAAAGCUAGGGGAGCAAACGGGG